AAGGCUAUAUUUUCAGGAAUCAUUUCUAUAAUUGGUUACUAGAGAAUUUUCUUUGAUCAUGUAGAAACACAAAAGGU
rnacentral:snoRNA from 1 species